rnacentral:rRNA from 1 species
UACGUAGGGGGGCAAGCGUUGUCCGGAUUUAUUGGGUCGUAAAAGGAGCGUGUAGGCGGCCGUACAGGUCAGCUGUGAAAACUCGAGGCUCAACCUCGAGACGAUCGGUUGAAACCGUACGGCUAGAGUCCGGAAGAGGAAAGCGGAAUUCCACGUGUAGCGGUGAAAUGCGUAGAGAUGUGGAGGAACACCAGUGGCGAAGGCGGCUUUCUGGUCUGUAACUGACGCUGAGGCGCGAAAGCGUGGGGAGCAAACAGG